rnacentral:sRNA from 1 species
CCUUUUUUUUGAAUCACAAUGCCUAACUUCUUUGAAUUCCAAACCCUUUACUAGACUUAACACUUUUGUAUCCCCCUUAGAACUCUAAACUCUUACUCUUUU